rnacentral:tRNA from 1 species
GUCCUAGUAGUUUAUAUAAAAUAUCAGCAUGUGAGGUUGAAGAAGAGCUGCUCUUUGGACA